rnacentral:rRNA from 1 species
UGAGGAAUAUUGGUCAAUGGACGCAAGUCUGAACCAGCCAAGUAGCGUGCAGGAUGACGGCCCUAUGGGUUGUAAACUGCUUUUAUAUGGGGAUAAAGUGGGGAACGUGUUCCCUUUUGCAGGUACCAUAUGAAUAAGGACCGGCUAAUUCCGUGCCAGCAGCCGCGGUAAUACGGAAGGUUCGGGCGUUAUCCGGAUUUAUUGGGUUUAAAGGGAGCGUAGGCCGUUUGGUAAGCGUGUUGUGAAAUGUAGGAGCUCAACUUCUAGAUUGCAGCGCGAACUGUCAGACUUGAGUGCGCACAACGUAGGCGGAAUUCAUGGUGUAGCGGUGAAAUGCUUAGAUAUCAUGAAGAACUCCGAUUGCGUAGGCAGCUUACGGGAGCGCACCUAACGCUGAAGAUCGAAGGUGCGGGUAUCGAACAGG